AUGGCAAUGGCGGGCGCGACGGACGCGGUGUGGCACGUGUGUGGGCAUGGAGAACCAGAGAGGGAGUGGCCCCGCGGGUGCGGAAGAAGAGCCGAAGGCUCGAGCAUGGGCGGGCAUAGGAGCGGGCAUGUGCCACGGGGUAAAUCCGAGGAGCUCGGUGGCUACCCCUGCAAUGGCCAUGGCGGACGACGGUUCUCGGCCACGGCGAAAUACCUAACGAGAGCAAACGAGAGGGGAAACUGGGGAAAGGCAAGAGGAGAUCACGGCGGUGUCAAUGGCACCCUAGGGGAAGACAGGGGAGCUCAGGGCAACGUGGAUCAAAUGGCAAUGUCGCGGUGGCCAAAGGUUGAGGAAGACGGAAACAACGUCGAUCUGGGGGUGCUAGACUUGAUCUCGUUGGCGCAGACGAAGUAG
rnacentral:rRNA from 1 species